GAUGAACGCUAGCUACAGGCUUAACACAUGCAAGUCGAGGGGAAACGACAUCGAAAGCUUUCUUUUGAUGGGCGUCGACCGGCGCACGGGUGAGUAACGCGUAUCCAACCUGCCCACCACUUGGGGAUAACCUUGCGAAAGUAAGACUAAUACCCAAUGAUAUCUCUAGAAGACAUCUGAAAGAGAUUAAAGAUUUAUCGGUGAUGGAUGGGGAAGCGACUGAUUAGCUUGUUGGCGGGGUAACGGCCCACCAAGGCGACGAUCAGUAGGGGUUCUGAGGAGAAGGUCCCCCACAUUGGAACUGAGACACGGUCCAAACUCCUACGGGAGGCAGCAGUGAGGAAUAUUGGUCAAUGGGCGAGAGCCUGAACCAGCCAAGUAGCGUGCAGGAAGACGGCCCUAUGGGUUGUAAACUGCUUUUAUAAGGGAAUAAAGUGAGUCUCGUGAGACUUUUUGCAUGUACCUUAUGAAUAAGGACCGGCUAAUUCCGUGCCAGCAGCCGCAGUAAAAC
rnacentral:rRNA from 1 species